UACGUAGGGGGCAAGCGUUGUCCGGAAUCAUUGGGCGUAAAGAGCGCGUAGGCGGCCCAGUAAGUCCGCUCUGAAAGUCAGGGGCUCAACCCCUGAAUGCGGGUGGAUACUGCUGGGCUAGAGUCCGGAAGAGGCGAGUGGAAUUCCUGGUGUAGCGGUGAAAUGCGCAGAUAUCAGGAGGAACACCCGUGGCUAAGGCGGUUCUCUAGUACGGUACUGACGCUGAGACGCGAAAGCGUGGGGAGCGAACAGG
rnacentral:rRNA from 1 species